UUAAGUCCUUAGAAUUUAACUACACUUUCUUUAGUUUUUUGAGACAGAGACUUGCUCUGUAAUUCAGGCUGGCCUUGAACUCACUGUGUAACCCCGUGUGGCCUUGAACUCAGCGAUCUUCUUGCCUCAGUCUCCCGAAUGGUGAGAUCAUUGGUGUGUAUCCCUACACCAGACUCAACUACCAUAUUGUAAAGCAAUGUGUGCUGCUCCACCUGGGUGGUACUGUUGCCCGGACAGUUCUGGGGAAGUUGGCAAAAAUGAGAUUUAGGAAACCACCGGCCACCUCACCAGUAGAAGAGGACUGCAGGUUCAUUUGUCGCAAAGAAAAGAAUUUCAAGAUGCGUCAGUAAGAGGCUCAAGAAGGGUUUAUUAGGCAGAAAGCGGAAGUUUCGCAAAGAAAUAGUGGGGUAUGAGAGAGAAGGGCAAGAGAGAGAGAGGGAUUAAGAUCAUUUCCUGGAACAGAGGAUAGCUAUGCUUCUCUUGAGGGGGUGGAAACCCUGAAAAAAGUGGCCUAUCCCCUAUUCUAUUCUACAUAGUUAAACCCAAGUCGGGUUUUAUUAAAACAAGUAGUUCUGUCAAUCUGUAUCAUAGGAUAGGACCCUCAGCUCUUUCUCAAUUAGGCCAGUUUAUGGACUUUCAGUGCCGAGGAAUUUCGAGUACGAUGAAUUUUCAGGGAAAGGAGCCUAAAUUUAACCCAGGGAAAGUACGUAUGGAUCACCUUGGGUGACUUUAGAAAUUUUAUUUAUUUAUUUAUUUAUUUGUCUUUAUCCUUUUUAUCAGUACUGGGGAUCAAAUUUACGACUGCCCGCUUGCAAGGCAGGCGCUUACGCCUCUGAGCUAAAUCCCCAGCCCAAUUUAUUUUUGUUUUUGGUGUUUUUUUUUUUGUUUGUUUUUGUUUUUGGCUUUUUCGUUUAUCGGUACCAGGGAUCGAACUCACGACUGCCUGCUUGCAAGGCAGGUGCUUAUGCCGCUGAGCUAAAUCCCCAGCCCCAAUUUAUCUUAAAAGCAUAAUUUUUGUGUUUCUUAGUUAUGAUUUCCGUGUUUCCUUUUUACCUUUUUUUUUUUUUGCUUUCCUCAGUCCAAGCCUAAUGGCAAACGCCAGGCCUGUGAAGUUCUUUGAGCCAUGAGAAGUGUGGAAACAGUACUUUGGGUAGAUGAGGUGGAAAGAAAGGUAAGGAGUCACUACUGUCAGCCACCCAGCACCACGCUCGUGUACUAGGACCUUGUGCUAGAUGUGGCAGCACCUGAGAGUGAAAGGGCCAAGCUUCCCUGGAGUUUAGGAGUUUAACGUUUGGUUGGAGACACACACCUGGCACCAGAACCCACAGAAUGUGCUGCUCAGGGACUGGCCUUGAGGAUCCAGCGGCUACAGAAGAGAACACUGCAUGUAACCGGGCCUUUAGAAUAAGGCUGAGCAACUGAGGCAUGAAGAUAACUUCAACAAAAGGUCUCAAACUUGAAUCCUGCAAGCUGUUCCCAUCUGCCUACAGUAACAUGUGAGUGUCUUUGUGUGUGUCAGUCUUGUCUUUAGAUGUUCUCAGGUUUACUACAUAAACAAGAAUUAAGUGAUAUAGGGCUGGGGAUUUAGCUCAGCGGCAGGCAGGCAGUCAUGAGUUCGAUCCCUGGUACCAAUAAAAACGAAAAAGACCAAAAAAAAAAAAAAAAAAAAAAAAAAAGAAUUAAGUGAUAUAUCUUUAUUACAUUCAGGUUAAAUUGAAAGUAAAUAUUUCAUAUAAAACACAAGGGAAAAUAACUUUACAAUAUUUAUCCUGAGGGUAAAAUUUAAGAUUGGAUGUAGAACAGUCACAAUGAUUCUACCAGCAAUAAGAUAGCUCAAAGUGUCACCGAAGGAAGACAGGUAAGCCAUAGGCAACAGGUGCAGCUCCAAUAAGAGACUUGAGUCGGGGAGCCUGGCGGGCCUGGCUGACAUAGUGGAGCAGAGGGGCCCCUGGGCCUGCUGCAAGCCAUCCCUGCAGGAGAGCUUCUGUGUAGCGGUCAAUGUCACGGUCAGUCACAUCCCAGAGAUUUCCCAGAAACAGGGGGCUGGGAAAAAAGACACCCAAAGUGAGGGCCCUGGAACAAAUGACCCCGGAAGAGAAGCAGUAGCAGCAGUGGGUGAGAGGGAGGACUGAACCAACAAGGAACUCCCUUAGCUCAUGGUUCGAGAACAGAAGGGGAUCAAGGGUACAGGGCCAGGAAUGCUCAGGGAACCAGGAUGGGAGGAAGGUGAGGCAAUACAGGAAGGAGUCAAGGCUUGGAGCUGGGAAAGAACUGGGGUAGGUGCAGGGAUUUUAAUGUCCUAGGACAGGUCUCGCCCCUCGAGCCUCACCAGCCAGCCAUGAUGUACUUGAGCACAAUGCCAGCCCCCUCCAGGUUUCCAUGCACGGCCAGGGCUGCGCUGCUGCAGCCAAACAACAAGGCCACUGCCCGGCAGCUUAGCCGCAGUACUGCCUGCCCAUCAAGGAAGCGGGCACCAGCCCCGUGACCUGCAUAGCUAAGGCAGAAGGAAGUGAGAUAAGCACUGAUCUAGCAGAAGAAGCCUCAACCUGCAAGUCCAGAGGCUCAAGGUGCCAGAGCAAUCCAUAGUGACACCAUCCUCCGGGCUGCCCCUCUCCUCAACCCACCCUACACACUCACAUAUAUAAGUCGUUCUUUGUCAAGGCCAUCUGCAUCUGUUCUGGGCUUGGCACCUCCCCGACCACCCCUCUCCAGCCAGCUUCACUGCAAAGAAAAGGCAGGAGUAAGAGUACAACCUGUACAGCGGUGAUCAUGCGGCAAAGUAGGCAGAAGGUACAGCAGAAUGAAGGCGCUGCAAUGCCUGAGUCUGCACAGGCACAGUGUCCUAGCAGGCUGUCUAUGCUUCACCACCCGCCUCUGUGCCCUCACCCCUCUGACCUGCUAAACUUGGCUCGAAAUUGCUCCUCUGUGCUUGCCAGGUUAUUGUGAGGGUUCAGGACGUAAAAUGUGCUCCGAGGAUCCACCCCCUGGCUCAGCACUGAUGCAGCCCCAGCCUGAGGGGAGACACUGGUUAUCAGGACCUGGUUUUGCUGCAGGUCAGACCUUCAGCAGGCUCCAAGCUGAUUUCCAUAUCUCACUGCUCCUGAGAACUGCUGCUAUCCCUCAGGUCUCUCCAAGUCUCUCUUCAGUUCCCCUCCAGUCACCAACUCUCCCCAGACUGACCCUGGCAUCCUACCUCUUUGAGGAUGAAAUAGCUGAGCAGGAAGUGGAAGGAGGGCAGCCGGGUGACAGGCAGUGCUCGCAGGCAGGGUAUGCUUUCCCAUGGCAGCUUCUGCAGGUCCUGAGCAAAAAGUAUUCCAAGGUUACUAUCCUUAGCCAGGCCCCAAAGAUAAGCUGGUGCCCACUAUCCAUUGCCUCCUCUUACCCUGUCCAGCACCAAGACAAGAUGCUUAUUGCUUGGUGCUGACUGCCCCUGUAGACGCCUGGCUGCCUCAGUCAGGAGUUCCUGGGCUCUGGCUGGCUGGGUCGGGCACAGCCCAUAGGCCAGGGCCUGAAUAUCCUGGGUUGUGAGGGUGCUGGCACCACUGAGCAAGACCUAUGGGGGAAUGGGGUUAGCAGGUGCCGUGUCCAGCAGCUUCCCCUUCCCUGCUUCCUGAACUCACUUUUAACAGAGUCGGGUCGGGAUACUGCCAGCCACAGUCCUGCAGCAACUCCUGCAGGCGGGUGGCCUCAUGCUCAGGGCCAGGUUCUUCACUGGAGGGCAGCAGCAGCCCUCGCCAGCAGCCCAACACAUGCUUCUCCAGGGAAGUGAUGAGGUCCUGGGAGCAGGGGUGGAGCCCUCAGUCAGACAGAAAGCCAGACUCCCAAUCCUCUUGGCUUAGCCUCCUGGAAAGUUACAUUAAAGGCCUGCACCACUGUAA